AUACUUAGCUGGCAGGAGAGAGACCGAGACCGCCGAGCACGGAGGUGGUUUUCCCGGGGCGAGGCUUAGCCAUUGCUCUCCGGAUGUGCUGACCCCCUGCGAUUUCCCCAAAUGUGGGGGAACUUGACCGCACAAUUUGUGUUGUAGGGGACUGUGUUCGCGUUCUCCCCUG
rnacentral:snRNA from 1 species